GGGCAUGUAGCUCAGCUGGUUAGAGCACUACACUGAUAAUGUAGGGGUCGUCCCGCUAAGCGGGACCAUGCCAA
rnacentral:tRNA from 1 species